GGGCGUUCUGAAGACCUGCUCUCUAGGCCACAUGCUGAGGACCCUGGUUCCUCCAGGGCUCCCGAGCCCGCCUAGGGGAAAGUCCCCGGACCCCGGGCAGAGAGUGCCGCGCGCCCGGCAGCGCGCAGUGACCCGCCUCGCAGGCUCACGUUCUCCCGCCGAGAAGCCCCCCGGGCUGAGCGGGUGGGCGCGGGAUGGGCUGCCCGUCACCCCCACAGGAACGCAGGUAGUGCGCAGGCGCGGUUCCCUCCGGGGGACUCCCGCUGCCGCACCAACAGAACGGGGCUCAUUCUCGGAACGCC
rnacentral:RNase_MRP_RNA from 1 species